AAGGAAGAGUAUUGAGGUGCUAAUCCCUGCACUAUUGAUCGCAUAUUCAAUAAAGUUUGUUUCUCUAAAAAUAUGCUUCAAGGAGAUAUUUUGAAAAGAGGAUGCCAGACUUCUAAUAUUCGCAUCAAUUUCUAGCUUUGAGUUGCCUUCCACACAAAUUUUUCUAUAACCUUUGCUUCCGAGCCAUUUUCAGCACAUCUCGUAGACCAAUUGCCUUAACCAUCAACUUGUGUUUUCUCCUAAGCUUCUGGUUCCCUGCAACCCUGAUCAUUUCCAAAAGCAAACCCUGCAACUGCUGUUUGAUUGACCACUUACCCAUCAAAAUUAAUCUUUAAGUAAUUUGGUUUAGGAGGAGUCCAUUUUAUGAUUUUGUUUGUUUUAUCCGUAUCUAUUUAUUCCUCUUUAUUUGAAACUAAGAAAUUUUACGUUCAAAUGACGAGUUCAAUAUUAUUUUGUUUUCUCACUACUAUGUUGUUGUAUAAAAAAAAAAAUUCAAUAGAUUAACUAGUACAAGACUAGAAAUUUAAAGUCUGAAAUUGAUGAUUAUGUACACAAAAAGAACCAAUCAUGCUAAUACAAAGAACUUAAGCUGAAGUAAAAAAAAACUGAAAAUAAUUAAGUAGAAGCGAGAUUUUCUCAACCUGGUUUCUUUGAUGUAUCCAAAUGUU
rnacentral:lncRNA from 1 species